CCCUACGGGGCGCAGCAGUGAGGAAUAUUGGUCAAUGGCCGGAAGACUGAACCAGCCAAGUAGCGUGAGGGAAGACGGCCCUAUGGGUUGUAAACCUCUUUUAUCCGGGGACAAAGGCGUCCACGUGUGGAUGUUUGCAGGUACCGCAUGAAUAAGGACCGGCUAAUUCCGUGCCAGCAGCCGCGGUAAUACGGAAGGUCCGGGCGUUAUCCGGAUUUAUUGGGUUUAAAGGGAGCGUAGGCCGGUCUUUAAGCGUGCCGUGAAA
rnacentral:rRNA from 1 species